CACGCCGUAAACUAAUGCUCGCUAGGUGUCAGGCAUGGCGCGACCGUGUCUGGUGCCGCAGGGAAGCCGUGAAGCGAGCCACCUGGGAAGUACGGCCGCAAGGCUGAAACUUAAAGGAAUUGGCGGGGGGAGGCACAACAACGGGUGGAGCCUGCGGGUUUAAUUUGGACUCAACGCCGGACAACUCACCGGGGACGGACAGCAAUAUGUAGGCCAGGCUGAAGACCUUGCCUGAAUCGCUGAGAGGAGGUGCAUGGCGGUAGACGUCU
rnacentral:rRNA from 1 species